CCAUUUUCUCUCUCAUAAAAUUCAAAACAAUACGAAGCAUUUACAGCAAAAAAUUGUCCAAAAUUACUUGAAAUUUAGUACAAAUGUCUGAAAUUCAAGGUGAUAAAACAGAAUCGGAACAAGAUUUACCAAAAGAUGUAAUUUCACAAAAGGAGACUUCGAAGAAGAUUAUUGAAGUUGAAACUGCAAAAUCGGAACAAGAUGUGAGUUUGCAGAAGAACAUUUCAGAGAAGAACAUUUUGCAGAAGAACACUUCAGAAGGGAGUAAUUCGGAGAAAAAUACUGAAGAAAUGUAUGAACCCUAAUUUAGUUCAAUUUCUUGCGAUUUAAUGUGUGAACAAUAAUUUUUGUUAAAUUCCUUGCAAUUAUAGUGUGAUUUUAACAAUUAAUUAAACAAAACAGAGAUGAUGAUGAAAUACUUCUUCACUCAAGAGUAGAUAAAUUGAAAAAAAAGCGCGAAAAAAGUCCAAUUGUAGAUCCUGAACUUUUAAAAGAUAUUGAAAAGUCAAGUGGUACAGAUCUAAAAAUGUCUCCAAUUUCAAGGUAUAUAAUCAUUUACAUAAUAUAUUAUGUUCAUU